rnacentral:misc_RNA from 1 species
CCGAAUUGUCAACAAGGGUUGUUGCUGGCCUCCAUAUGGGGGCAUGUGCACGCUCUGUUUACAUAUCCACUCACACCUGUGCACCCUCUGUAGUUCUAUGGCCUGGGAGGCUCUGUCCUCUUGCUGUGGUUCUACGUCUUUACAUACACACCACAAUGAAGUCUGAUGGAAUGGAUGUCGCGUUUAACGCAAUAAAUA